rnacentral:rRNA from 1 species
GAUGAACGCUGGCGGCGUGCCUAAUACAUGCAAGUCGAGCGAACAGACGAGGAGCUUGCUCCUCUGACGUUAGCGGCGGACGGGUGAGUAACACGUGGAUAACCUACCUAUAAGACUGGGAUAACUUCGGGAAACCGGAGCUAAUACCGGAUAAUAUAUUGAACCGCAUGGUUCAAUAGUGAAAGACGGUUUUGCUGUCACUUAUAGAUGGAUCCGCGCCGCAUUAGCUAGUUGGUAAGGUAACGGCUUACCAAGGCGACGAUGCGUAGCCGACCUGAGAGGGGGCUCGGCCAAACGGGAACUGGGACCGGGGCCAACCCCCUACGGGAGGCAGGAGGAGGGAAUCUUCCGCAAGGGGCGAAAGCCUAACGGAGCAACGCGGGGGGAGUGAAGAAGGGCUUGGGAUCGUAAAACUUUUUUUUUGGGAAAAAAAAAAUGUGUAAGUAACUAUGCACGUCUUGGCGGUACCCAACCAAAAAGCCCCGGCCAACUACGU